rnacentral:rRNA from 1 species
UACGAAGGGGGCUAGCGUUGCUCGGAAUUAUUGGGCGUAAAGAGCUCGUAGGCGGUCUGUUGCGUCGGCUGUGAAAACCCGGGGCUCAACUCCGGGCCUGCAGCCGAUACGGGCAGACUAGAGUUCGGCAGGGGAGACUGGAAUUCCUGGUGUAGCGGUGAAAUGCGCAGAUAUCAGGAGGAACACCGGUGGCGAAGGCGGGUCUCUGGGACGAUACUGACGCUGAGGAGCGAAAGCGUGGGGAGCAAACAGG